UGUCAGCAGCCAGGGGGAAGGAGCUCUUGUAGAAAUGCUACUCAGAGACACUUGGUUGCCUAUUCUGCCGCUGUGUCGUCUAUCCAAGAAUGUUGUGGUAUUUUGCAAGCAGCACAGCACACACCAUGCCUGCAAGGAGGAUAUUAUCAUCUCCAUGUUACAAAUUAGAAAAAAGAGAUGCCAAUGGAUUAAGUAAAUUGGUAAAUGAAGUUUGGAGUAAAGUCAAGAACCAAAGAUUCCAGAAUCAAUACAUAAGGGCACUGUAUUCAUUGGUUGUGGGAACAAAGUGCAAGAUAGCAAAAAAGACUGAAAAUGAGGCAUUUUUUGCUCCUGAGCUGUCAGGAAAACGGAGCUUACAGCCAAAAAACAAUCUCUUUACAAAUGCUGGAAUCACAUGGCCCCAUUCUGCACUGGCUUGUAUUUUUUUAUUUCAUUUAAAACAAAUUCAAAUUAUAGUGUUUUACACCUGUUUUUCAUUAAUGUAAAUGAUUAUAGAAGAUGCUACACCAUGGAGAAUCAGGACCUAGACUCUGAACUAUCUAGGGAACUGGGAAGUAAUACAUAAAUAGGGGUUGUCACAUGAUGGCUUCUGUAUGAACUUUUGAGCUGAAAAGCAAUCACAUUGGACUAACCUUAUAUGGCUUUGGUAGCUGGCAUGAUUUAGGAGCACCCAUAGAUAGGGAUGAAAUUUGAGUCUGGACAUAAUCUUAUGUAACAAAUUACUAUGCUAGCUGGUUAUGUUGCAGAAUGAUUAAGACUGGGUGCAGUUACAUGAGACAUUUACUGUAGAGUAGACUAAUUAGCUCUGCAGUAAAUGUCACACAUCAACACAUGCACCUCUAUUAGUCGAAGUGAAUUAAUUACACUUGUAAAUACAAGUACUAUCCUGCUAUGGAGGUUUUAACUCUGCAGCAGUGCACAUGUAGACACUGCCCCAACUGGCUCAGGCACAAGUAUGCUUCAAUGCAGGAGCUGCCUAGUGCCUAACCCCACACUGAAGCACCCUUGUACCCUAGCGAACCCCUCCACAACAUGUUGAGUCAGGGGAAGUAGCCCUAAGCUGGCAGG